GAUGAACGCUAGCGGCAGGCUUAACACAUGCAAGUCGAGGGGUAUGCUGAUUUAUCGGCAGAGACCGGCGCACGGGUGCGUAACGCGUAUGCAAUCUACCUUUCACAGAGGGAUAGCCCAGAGAAAUUUGGAUUAAUACCUCAUAGUAUAGCAGUUUCGCAUGGAAACCACUAUUAAAGUUCCAACGGUGAAAGAUGAGCAUGCGUCCCAUUAGCUAGAUGGUAAGGUAACGGCUUACCAUGGCUACGAUGGGUAGGGUCCUGAGAGGGAGAUCCCCCANACUGGUACUGAGAUACGGACCAGACUCCUACGGGAGCAGCAGUGA
rnacentral:rRNA from 1 species